rnacentral:lncRNA from 1 species
UGUCUUCAUAUAAUGGCAGGACAAACUGUCCACAGUGGGGUUCUAUUACUGAGAAAAUUGCUAAAGUAUAGUCUACAAUAAUCUUCAGGGUGUGGGUUGGAUUAAUCACCAAUUGCUUCUUUACAUUGGUUUGAAACACAUUCUCCAAAUUGAUUACAAGUGGUUCCAAAAUGUACAUUUCUAUACUGUUUCCUCCAUGGGGUCUCUGGAAAAAUGGCUCCUCCAUCAUACUGGCUGCAUGUUAAUAACUAUUUUCCAAGGCACCAUUUAACCACCCUAUUAUCCAAACAUUCUUUGUUACAAAUUUCUUGAGAACUCAGGCCUCCACAGUGCAGGGCAAAGGAACCUCCCAUUCCCCUCCUGGUGUCACUAUAUGUAGCUGGCUUCCCCCAGACCUUCUCAUCCAGUGUUUGGGGGGCAAAAAGGACUGUUUCAGCCUAAAAUGAAUUGGCUUUUCCCCUGAGCUGUCUAUUUAGGGAUGUCAUUCCACAAGUGAACACAUUUGGCUGACUAUAAUUACAUAACAGCCUGUCAGUUCCCACCCAGCAACAACUGUACCCACCUGGGUAGCUUUUGAUUUCUUCUAUUAACAAAUCCACUCCCUCACUAGCCCCUAGGUGUUUACAUGAGGAUGGUGCUUUUGCCACCAAAGUGGUUAGGGAUUCUGUUGUCACCAGUGUAGACCAUUUGCAACCCAAACUAUGAUACAUUGCCAGUUCUCACUAUUCCCAAGCUAAUAUUUACUUUGUCCAAAUCUAAACCUUUCAAUUUUACUGAAGUGGGAUUAUAUCUGUGUGGUGCCUAAAAAGUGAUUCAUUCUCCUGGGAUGAGUAGUGAUGUCCAGGGUAUUAUUCACUUACAUUCCAUUGUCAUCCACAGCAAGUUUCCCUACAUCUUGAACCCACAGGUUUUGAAUUCACACCACCAAAAGAGCAGGUCUACAAUCCAAAUGCUAGCAAAAGCAGCACACAGGUGUGCAUCAUCUCCCAAAAUCUUCCAGCAUCCGCAUGGCAGGUGA